rnacentral:rRNA from 1 species
GAUUAAAAUAAUUAAGGGCACACAAAGGAUGCCUAGGUAGUAAGAGCCGAUGAAGGACGUGGUAAGCUGCGAUAAGCCUAGAUAAGUUGCAAUCGAACGUAAGAGUCUAGGAUUUCCGAAUGGAGCAAUCUAUUAAGAUGGAGUCUUAAUACGAAAGAGGGAACCACGUGAACUGAAACAUCUAAGUAACGUGAGGAAAAGAAAGUAAAAACGAUACCCAAAGUAGCGGCGAGCGAACUGGGUCAAGCCUAAACCUUAAAUAUGUCAAGGAUACAGCCGUUGUAUUUAAGGGGUUGAGGGACAAAGUAGUGAAGAACUGUAAGAUAUUCAAUAUAGUGUAUUGAUGAAUUAGAAUUGUAUGGAAAGAUAAACCGCAGAAGGUGAGAGUCCUGUAUAAGUAAAUCCUUACACAUAUAACUUUGCUCCCAAGUAACAUGGAACACGAGGAAUUCUGUGUGAAUCAGUGAGGACCAUAUCUCAUAAGGCUAAAUACUCUUACUAACCGAUAGCGCAUAGUACCGUGAGGGAAAGGUGAAAAGAACCCCUGGAGGGGAGUGAAAUAGAACCUGAAAUUGUAUGCUUACAAGCGGUCAGAGCCCAUUUGGGUGAUGGCGUGCCUUUUGGAGAAUGAUCCUGCGAGUUACGUUAAACGGCGAGGUUAAGUAUAACGGAGCCGAAGGGAAACCAAGUCUUAAUAGGGCGAUAUAGUCGUUUGGCGUAGACGCGAAACCUGGUGAUCUAAACCUGUCCAGGAUGAAGCUGUGGUAAGACACAGUGGAGGUCCUAACCCACCGCCGUUGAAAAGUUGGGGGAUGAGGUAGGUUUAGGGGUGAAAAGCCAAUCGAACCAGGAGAUAGCUCGUUCUCUCCGAAAUGCAUCUAGGUGCAGCCUUGAGUGUUCAAUUAUGGGGGUAGAGCACUGAAUGAUCUAGGGGGCAUAUUGCUUACUGAAAUCAAUCAAACUCCAAAUACCAUAAUUUAUAGCUCAGGAGUGAGACCAUGGGAGUUAACUUCCAUUGUCAAAAGGGAAACAACCCAGACCACCAGCUAAGGUCCCUAAUUAUAACUAAGUGGGAAAGGAGGUGGAGAUUCACAAACAACUAGGAGGUUGGCUUAGAAGCAGCCAUACCUUUAAAGAGUGCGUAAUAGCUCACUAGUCGAGAGUCUCUGCGCCGACAAUGUAACGGGGCUAAGUUAUAAACCGAAGCUGUGGAAUCCUUAUGGAUUGGUAGGAGAGCGUUCUGUAGGCUGUUGAAGAAGAAGGGUAACCAACUUUGGAGGUAUCAGAAGUGAGAAUGCAGGAAUAAGUAGCGAGAAAGGGGGUGAGAAUCCCCCUCGCCGGAAGACCAAGGUUUUCAGGGUAAAGCUUGUCUUCCCUGAGUAAGCCGGGACCUAAGCCCAGGCUAUAAUGCGUAGGCGAAUGGAAAACAGAUUAAUAUUUCUGUGCCAGUCAUUUAUUGUGAUGGAGGGACGCAGAAGGGUAUGUGCACGGACGAUCGGUUGUGUCCGUAGAAGUAUGUAGGAUGACUUAGUAGGUAAAUCCAUUAAGUUAUAUCUGAGGUAUGAUAUACAGUCGUAAGAUGAAUGUACAAAUCCCACGCUGCCAAGAAAAACUUCUAACGUUAAUAUAUGACUGCCCGUACUGUAAACCGACACAGGUGGUCAGGAUGAGAAAUCUAAGGCGGACAGGCUAACUCUCGUUAAGGAACUCUGCAAAAUAACCUCGUAACUUCGGGAGAAGAGGAGCCCUUGUGUGUUAGUAUACACGCGAUACAAAGCGCACGAGGGUCGCAGUGAAGAGGCUCAAGCAACUGUUUAACAAAAACACAGGUCUAUGCUAAGCUGUAAGGCGAUGUAUAUGGGCUGACACCUGCCCAGUGCUGGAAGGUUAAGAGGAGGAGUGAGAGCUCCGAAUUGAAGCCCCAGUGAACGGCGGCCGUAACUAUAACGGUCCUAAGGUAGCGAAAUUCCUUGUCGGGUAAGUUCCGACCUGCACGAAUGGUGUAAUGAUUUGAGCGCUGUCUUGACGGGAGGCCUGGUGAAAUUGUAUUACCGGUGAAGAUACCGGUUACCUACAGUAGGACGGAAAGACCCCAUGGAGCUUUACUGUAGCUUGGUAUUGGGUUUUGGCAUUGCAUGUAUAGGAUAGUUGGGAGACUAUGAUGGUAUGGCGCUAGCUGUAUCGGAGUCAUCGGUGGAAUACCAACCAUUCAAUGCUGAAAUUCUAAUCUGUGGUUUGAAGCCACGGAGACAGUGCUAGGUGGGCAGUUUGACUGGGGCGGUCGCCUCCGAAAGAGUAACGGAGGCGUUCAAAGGUUCUCUCAGGUUGGAUGGAAAUCAACCAUAGAGUGCAAUGGCAUAAGAGAGCUUGACUGCAAGACUGACGGGUCGAGCAGAUGCGAAAGCAGGACAUAGUGAUCCGGCGAUUCCGAAUGGAAGGGUCGUCGCUCAACGGAUAAAAGCUACCCUGGGGAUAACAGGCUGAUCCUACCCGAGAGUCCAUAUCGACGGUAGGGUUUGGCACCUCGAUGUCGGCUCAUCGCAUCCUGGGGCUGGAGAAGGUCCCAAGGGUUGGGCUGUUCGCCCAUUAAAGCGGUACGUGAGCUGGGUUCAGAACGUCGUGAGACAGUUCGGUCCCUAUCCACUGUAGGCGUUAGAAUAUUGAGAAGACCUGUCCUUAGUACGAGAGGACCGGGAUGGACAAACCUCUGAUGUACCAGUUGUCACGCCAGUGGCACAGCUGGGUAGUCACGUUUGGAAUAGAUAAUCGCUGAAAGCAUCUAAGCGAGAAACUAACUUCAAGAUAAGUAUUCUUUAAGAUACCUUUGAGACUAGGAGGUUGAUAGGUUGGAGGUGUAAGUACAGCAAUGUAUUUAGCUGACCAAUACUAAUUAUCAAAGUUUUAAUCUA